AUAUCUUCAUCAACAGAUCUUCUCUCUGUUUGAUUGAGGGAAAGUAUCUUCACUUGUUUCUUUCACUGUUAACUCUCAAAUGAAAGGGCAACUCAUUUUGGUUUCCUGGUGUAGCUCAGUGGAGGGUAUCUUUGCUCUGGUUUAGGACUAUCUAUUUUCCAAACCCUGGGAGGUUGAAAAGUUACCUUCACUGAUUAACAGAGAAAUGAGUAAAUGUGCCUGGAGAGCGAUGUGCCUGGAGAGAUGGGGGGGGGUGGUGGAGAAAUUCAAGCUGCUGCACAGAGGAUUACCCUACACAAUGAAAACUCUAAAAGAAAACAGGUCAAAUUUAGGCAGCAGAAGGAAAUAAGAAACUGCAAAUAACUGGUGUUUGUGGAUGUGUGCCAAAGAAGCCCGGAGUCAUGCUUUUCCUUUAUGUCAAGCCACAAAGACAGUUUUCAGUGUUCCCACAUCCAUUCUCCCCUGUGAAGCCCCUCAAGUGGCCAAAUUGCUUUGAUUGUUUACUCUCUGCAAUGGACUGAAUUUUUGUUGUUCUGCCAAAACUCUAAUGUCAAUGUGAUGGUAUUGUGGAGUGGGGCCUUUGGGAAGGAAUUAAGUCACGAAGGUAGAGCCCUCAUGAAGGGGCUUAGUGUCCUUAUAAGAAGAGGCCAGAGAGCUAGCUAGCUCUCUCAGCCAUGUGAGGAUGCAGUGAGAAGAUGACCAGGAAGUGGGCCCUCACCAGACACUGGAUCUGCCUGCAUCUUGAUCUUGGACUUCCCAGACUCCAGAACUGUGAGAAUUAAACGUCAUUUAAGCCAUUCAGUCUAUGGUUUUCUGUUACAGCAGCCAGAAAGGGCUGAGACACUCUUUGUAAUAUACAUUUCACUUUACCUGAACAUCAUGAGAGCAAUGCUAGGCUCUGUAUACUGAUUAAACUAAUGUUCAUAGCUAGUGAAAAAAUAAAUGACAAUCUAUAAGGGGGGAGGGUUGUAGA
rnacentral:lncRNA from 1 species